rnacentral:rRNA from 1 species
CGGUGACUGCGUACCUUUUGUAUAAUGGGUCAGCGACUUAUAUUCUGUAGCAAGGUUAACCGUAUAGGGGAGCCGCAGGGAAACCGAGUCUUAACUGGGCGUUAAGUUGCAGGGUAUAGACCCGAAACCCGGUGAUCUAGCCAUGGGCAGGUUGAAGGUUGGGUAACACUAACUGGAGGACCGAACCGACUAAUGUUGAAAAAUUAGCGGAUGACUUGUGGCUGGGGGUGAAAGGCCAAUCAAACCGGGAGAUAGCUGGUUCUCCCCGAAAGCUAUUUAGGUAGCGCCUCGUGAACUCAUCUUCGGGGGUAGAGCACUGUUUCGGCUAGGGGGUCAUCCCGACUUACCAACCCGAUGCAAACUACGAAUACCGAAGAAUGUUAUCACGGGAGACACACGGCGGGUGCUAACGUCCGUCGUGAAAAGGGAAACAACCCAGACCGUCAGCUAAGGUCCCAAAGUUAUGGUUAAGUGGGAAACGAUGUGGGAAGGCCCAGACAGCCAGGAUGUUGGCUUAGAAGCAGCCAUCAUUUAAAGAAAGCGUAAUAGCUCACUGAUCGAGUCGUCCUGCGCGGAAGAUGUAACGGGGCUAAGCCAGUUACCGAAGCUGCGGAUUUGCAAUUU